UUUAAGUUCAGUUCGCUAACAGGAAAGACUGCCACGGAUGCUUAACUUUAAUACUAGAGAAGCUGCCACAGGUGUCAACAGUUUAAAACAACUGAUUGAAACAGUAUCACAUGUCAUUAUGAAAUAAUUGUCAUCACUUAAUCAGAGUGAUAAUCAAAAGAUUUCAAAACCAAUACAGAAAGUUACACAGAACAUUUUUGAAACUCAUUUUUCCUAAGUAAUCAAUAAAAACCAAUAAAUACAAUUUGAAACACAUGAA
rnacentral:lncRNA from 1 species